GCGGGUAUGGCGGAAUUGGCAGACGCGCAAGACUAAGGAUCUUGUGGAGGGUUUCCUCCGUGGAAGUUCGAAUCUUCUUACCCGCAUCA
rnacentral:tRNA from 2 species